GCGGGGCCAUGGCCAUAUUUUGUCAGCUAGUUGAAACGAUAAGUAGGUUAGAAAGUGGGUGUGUAUAUUUAUCAUCCUGUCUUACGAAUCACAAGCUUUACUUCCAUAGUUAACUAAACGAGAAAAUAUAUAAUUUGUGUAACUAUUUCCGCUUGUUUGAUGGCAAACAUUGAGUACCAGGCAUUGAUCGUGACCUAAGGUUGUUCAGACCGACGUUUAAUAACAACUUUCCGACACGAACAGUGGUGUGAAAGUUAUCAUUGGAGAGUUAUAGCUGCCAGUUGACAGUUAAACUUUAUAUACGCAAAGACAACAACUCUAUUGAAGGUGGAGCAUUUAGAAGUAACCAUCUACCACCGCAGUUCAUACAUUGCAAAAAUGGGGAAAAUGGUGUGGUUGACUUUCAUAUGUGCUCUUGUUCCCAAAGGGAACACAGAAACAAGCUGCGAUGUAUCUGAAACGAACGUUUUAAAAUGUAAUUUUUCUACAAAUGUGAACGCCACGCAAACAGCCUUUUCAGUUUAUUUUCAGAUGGACAAUAUAGAUAAGGAGCUGCUGGUUGACUGUGUAUGGCUGAAUAACAACCUUAGUUGCCUCAACCAAGAGGGCAUUGGUGUCAAGCAAGAGGUUUCGGAAACUGCUGAAAUCAGUUUGCCAACACGAUUCGUAAGUGCAAAUGGAACGUACAGAUGUCAACUUGAGGGCCUCGAACAUAAACAAGGAACACCCUGUCAGUUUGAUGAAACAAAAGACGAGAUCCAAAACAAUCAGUUUAACGGAUCAAUCGACGAAAAUCCUCCUAAUGACAAAGGGAACACAGAAACAAGCUGCGAUGUAUCUGAAACGAACGUUUUAAAAUGUAAUUUUUCUACAAAUGUGAACACCACGCAAACAGACUUUUCAGUUUAUUUUCAGUUGGACAAUAUCAAUGAAGAGCUGUUGGUUGACUGUGCAUGGCUGAAUCACAACCUUAGUUGCCUCAACCAAGAGGGCAUUGAUGUCAAGCAAGAGGUUUCGGAAACUGCUGAAAUCAGUUUACCAACACGAUUCGUAAGUGCAAAUGGAACGUACAGAUGUCAACUUGAGGGCCUCGAACAUAAACAAGGAACACCCUGUCAGUUUGAUGAAACAAAAGACGAGAUCCAAAACAAUCAGUUUAACGGAUCAAUCGACCAAAAUCCUCAUAAUGACAAAGGGAACACAGAAACAAGCUGCGAUGUAUCUGAAACAAACGUCUUAAAAUGUAACUUUUCUACAAAUGUGAACGCCACGCAAACAGCCUUUUCAGUUUAUUUUCAGAUCUACAAUAUAGAUAAAGAGCUGUUGGUUUACUGUGCAUGGCUGAAUCACAACCUUAGUUGCCUCAACAAAGAGGGCUUUGAUGUUAAGCAAGAGGUUUCGGAAACUGCUGAAAUCAGUUUACCAACACGAUUCGUAAGUGCAAAUGGAACAUACAGAUGCAAUCUUGGGCUCGAACAUGGAAAACCCAGUCAGGUUGAUGAAAGGAAAGACGAGAUCCAGAACAAUCAGUUUAACGGACCCAUCCAUGAAAAUCCUCCUAAUGACAAAGUGCUGUCGCUAUCUGCAUAUUAGGCCUAAUCAUCAUGGUUACGUACAUGCAUGUACAAAAAAGAUCAGGAAAAUCUAAAAUAACAAAUAUAACUGAAGUAUGUUACCGCUUGUCUACUGACAGGAAUGGCGAAAAUGAUCCUUUGGUUGACCAUGAGUUAUCAAGGUCACGCGAAGAGGAAAGCACCGAUCUGUG
rnacentral:misc_RNA from 1 species